UGCCAUGGUUUGCUUGUCAAUAGGUUUUCAUUGUUAGUUAUUUCAGUGAUCGCAAAUUUUACCAUAACCGCAAUCAAGUGUCUAAAUCAGAAUUUAAGUGUUGCUGUACUAAACUUCCGAUUACGCUUUUGUUUACAAUUUCUCAUAGUCAUUUGCUUCUGUCGAAGUCGACAAGUCGUGAUAAAGUGUACUUGCAUUCCGGUUUGAACUGCGGUGUGCGACGGAGUAGUGACCUACGUAUUUGAACAAUCUGCUAGAACUACGUGGUGACUGUUUUAGCUGAGGUGAUUAGCAUUGCUGAGAAGGAUCAUCAGAAAAUGUUAUACAAUCACUAUAAUGACGAUCGCAGCACUGACCGCAACACAAGAGAUGACAGAGGGCCGGCUUGCAAGCAAUUCAAGAUGGACUAUACAUCAGAUAGCGGUGCUAACCGCAACACAAGAGAUCAUAGGAGGCCAGCUCGCAAGCAAUUCAAGACGGACAAGACUUGUUCAGAUCGCAGCACUGAACGCAACACGAGAGAUGACAGGGGGCCAGCUCCCAAGCGGUCCAGACCUGAUGAGUCUGCCAAGAAUGACAAGAUAGCUGCGCCAGCCAUCAAAAAGCCAGUAGUUGACCCCUUGCAGACCCGAACUGGCGGUGCUUAUAUUCCUCCAGCCAAGUUACGCAUGAUGCAGGCAGAAAUUUCUGACAAGUCGUCGGCUGCAUUCCAAAGGCUGGCGUGGGAAGCUCUCAAAAAGUCCAUCAAUGGCCUUGUCAAUAAAGUGAACGUUUCUAACAUUGGAGUCAUCGUGCGUGAGUUGCUCAAGGAAAAUGUGGUGCGUGGACGCGGUAUUUUGUGUCAGUCUCUCAUGCAAGCUCAAUCAUUUUCUUUAACGUUCACGCACGUCUACGCUGCCCUUGUCGCAGUCCUCAACAGCAAGUUCCCGCAAAUAGGCUUGCUGCUGCUCAAUAGGCUGAUCAUUCAGUUCCGUCGGGGCAUCAGACGCAAUGACAAAAGCAUCUGCCUCUCUUCCAGCCGUUUCAUUGCCCAUCUAAUGAACCAGCAGGUGGCACAUGAAGUUGUUGCUCUUGAAAUAUUGACUUUUCUGCUUGAAAAAGUUCAGGACGCAACUGAUGACUCAGAACUCGGAGAUAAAUCCCGGAACAGCUGCGCUGAGCUAGCCGCGGCGUUUCUUAGAGAGUGCGGGCAGAAGCUUCAGGAACUUAGUCCACGAUGCAUGGUUCGGAUAUUUGAAAGUUUGAAAAACAUCAUCAAUGAAGGCAAACUUGAAGAGAGAGUCAAGUAUAUGUUUGAAGCUAUCUGGACUGAAGGAAGGAAUGGUUUUAAGGACAAUCCUGCCAUUCUGGAAGAGCUUGAUUUGGUGGAAGAGGAUGAUCAAGUCACACACGUAGCCGAGUUGGAUGGCAAGUUGGAUAGCGAAGACAUUCUCAAUGUAUUCAAGCACGAUCCCGAAUUUGAGGUUAACGAAGAGAAGUACAAGGAAAUUCGAGCUAGCCUUUUGGGCGAGUCCAGCGACGGGGAAGACGGUGAGGAUGGCAGUGAGUCAUCUGGGUCGGAUAGCGACGAUGAAGAAGAUGAAGACAAAGAAAAUGCUGGUCAAGAUAUUUUGGACCAAACUGAGAGCAAUAUGCUGGCCUUCAGACGCACUAUCUACCUCACUCUAAGGUCAUCUCUGACAGUCGACGAAGCUACGCACAAAAUUCUCAAAGGGAAUAUCAAACCUGGAUGGGAGAUGGAGCUUGGUAACAUGAUUCUGGAUUGCUGUGCUCAAGAGCGCACGUUUAUGAAGUUUUUUGCUCUCAUAGCCCAGCGUUUCUGUGGCAUCAACCGCAUGUAUCGGGACUGUUUUCAGGAGAUAUUCAAGACCGCCUACGAGACUUGCCACAGACUUGACACCGACAAGAUGCGCAAUGUUGUGCGGUUGUUCGCCCAUCUCUUUGUGACGGACGCCAUCUCAUGGGAGGUUUUCAGCAUUGUUCUGCUCAACGAAGACAACACCACAAGCUCAUCCAGAGUCUUCCUCAAAAUCCUCUUUCAAGAAAUGGUUGAAUUUCUCGGUCUGAGCAAAUUGAACGACCGACUUGGUGACCCGACGAUGAGCUGCGCGUUCGAGGGCCUCCUGCCGCGCGACAAUCCCCGUAACACGCGCUUCGCAAUCAACUACUUCACCUCCAUUGGCCUCGGUGGCCUCACCGACGGCCUUCGGGAGUUCCUACGCACACAACCAAAACCAAACGCCAUCGUCGCACGCGUCAUCCAAACGGGGGAUGGUGAAGACAGCUCGAGCAGCAGCAGCAGCAGCAGCAGCAGUAGCAGCAGCAGCAGUAGCAGCAGCAGUAGCAGCAGCAGUGACAGCAGUUCUUCUGACGAUGAUUCGUCAAGUGGUGCGUCAGGUCAAAAAAAUUGGUUUGGAGGCUAAAACUCUAAAAUCACUAUCGGACACCAGGACGCUGCACUACUCGGCAUGAUCGCGCACUGCUGAAUGAGGGGGAUGCGCAAGCAGACGCAGCCCAAUACCGUCUGGGCGGUAAUGCCAGGCGACGACGGGACACGUCGACGCGCCGUUCUCGAGACGUGAGCGUGGACCGACGAGGCAGCGCACGAGACCAGCCUCGAAGA
rnacentral:misc_RNA from 1 species